AUUGAACGCUGGCGGCAGGCCUAACACAUGCAAGUCGAACGAUUGGCGGACGGGUGAGUAAUGUCUGGGAAACUGCCUGAUGGAGGGGGAUAACUACUGGAAACGGUAGCUAAUCCCGCAUACCAUCGGAUGUGCCAAGAUGGGAUUAGCUCGUAGGUAGGGGAAAGGCUCACCUAGGCGACGAGCCCUAGCUGGACUGAGAGGAUGACCAUCCACAGUUGAACUGAGACACGGUCCAGACUCCUACGGUGGGCAGCAGUGGUGAAUAUUGCACAAUGGGCGCAAGCCGGAUGCAGCCAUGCCGCGUGUAUGAAGAAGGCCCUCGGGUUGUAAAGUACUUUCAGCGGGGAGGCGUUACCCGCAGAAGAAGCACCGGCUAACUCCGUGCCAGCAGCCGCGGUAAUAC
rnacentral:rRNA from 1 species